rnacentral:lncRNA from 1 species
UCACACUAACAUUUCACCUUUUCCAUCUCUCCCACAUUAACCCCAUUCCUCUCUUUAGCCGUAACCCUCUCUAUAUAUACCUGAAUUCCCCGAAAUGUUAAGUUCGUGCCAUCAGCUUUUAUAUUAGGAGAAACCACUUACAAAUCUAAGUGCGACUUCUCUUCUUCCUCCUCCUAAAAACCUAAAACAGUUUAUUUAAACAAAAAAAAAAAGAUUGAGAUCCUAUAUAUGAAAUGGUUGCAGGCCAACGUUCUAUAGAGUUUGGAAGAAGAAGACAACAGAAGGGUUUCAGUCUCUUCCUUACGCUGUGGCUCUCUUCAGCGCGACACUUUGGCUUUACUACGCAACGCAGAAGAGAGAUGUUUUCCUCCUCGUCACCAUCAACUCUUUUGGAUGCUUCAUAGAAACUAUUUACAUCUCUAUCUUCCUUGCAUACGCACCCAAGAAAGCCCGGGUACAUUUUUUUUUUUUGUACAACUAGAAAGACACUAAUGCUUUUUAAUAUACUUUUCCAAAAUUAUUCGAAAUAUUAUUGUUCACACUAACAUUUCACCUUUUCCAUCUCUCCCACAUUAACCCCAUUCCUCUCUUUAGCCGUAACCCUCUCUAUAUAUACCUGAAUUCCCCGAAAUGUUAAGUUCGUGCCAUCAGCUUUUAUAUUAGGAGAAACCACUUACAAAUCUAAGUGCGACUUCUCUUCUUCCUCCUCCUAAAAACCUAAAACAGUUUAUUUAAACAAAAAAAAAAAGAAACAAGAAAAGCAUGCCUCUCUUCGACACUCACAACACAUGGGCCUUUGUCUUUGGUUUGAUGGGUAUGAUACUAACGCUUAUGUUGAUUUCGUAUAGAUAUUUUAUCGAC